GGUAUCAGAGCAUUGUUUAUAGUGAGCUAAGUAUAUCAAUUCAUAAAAGAUAUACAACCUAUAAACACAAAGGGAUAAAACACUCUGACCAAGAAUUAUACUUUAAAAUAUAACCAUAUUUUACCAAAGUAUAAUAACAUCCAGAAUCUAAACACUCGAACACAAGUAUCAUAAGUACAACAAGAAUAAAAGUCUUCGGAUGUUGAGCAUUACCGUCAAACCUGGGCAGUUAUGUAAUCGUAAGAUGGGAUAAAUGUAACCUGAUCAACUACAUUUAUCCGAGAUGCGAUGUACAUGUGCUUGGGAGUGAUAGUGGUGUUGCAACAAGUCUGAAACUUACCAACUAGGAUUGCUAGAGCCAAACAUAAAGUUAAAAUACUAUAGGAGUAUUUUAGAACACUAAAAGAUCCACACUAAUCCCAGAAUAAUAAUCAGAAGAUAAGAAUCAAACAAGAAUUAAAAUACCAUAGGGGUAUUUUAGGAUGCAUAGAUAACCUUGUGUGAAGAACUAAAAAGAUCCUUAUUGAUAUACCUACAACUACACAGAGUACAUUCCCAAAGUUAUAUAUAAUAAGGAUCCCAUAGGCUAAGAAUGUGUGGUUUCGCUCUAUUUCCUUUUCCUCGUUGGGAUGCGGUUCUAGAGUAGUAUCACGUAUUCGAAGGCCUAUCGGAUCUAAGCUAUAUAUGAUUUGUAUACCCUGUGUAAUCGUAGCAGGACUCGAUAUGGAUCAUCCAGUGAAAUGUUAAUAAUCUCUUAAGAUUCUUUAGACAUUUCCAUUCUCGCACGAACCCUGUAGAAAACCCUAUCCACUUCAGUGUUUAACAGAAGAGUUGAGUCCGACCCCGAAGAAGUUUAUUGAGAAGAUUUCCAGCUCGGAAACGAAUGAACUAGGUCGAGACUAUUGAAUUCACCAAGUGCCCAUAUCUUUUAGGGACAUUGGUGAGAAAUUUGCCUAAACUUCGGAGAUUUCCAGUCAUCCAUCAUGAAGUGGUGACACCCAUAGUCGGAAUUCGGAAGCAAGGCAAAGUAGAGAUUCAAUAUGUCAAUACGAGAAGAGAACCUUAGGAAACUACCCGAAGGAAACCAAUGCUGAUUCCAGUCAAAGAUACGAGGCAGACCGAGGGAGCCAGUACAUGGAACCCGGGAAUUGUCUUUUCCUCGUGUUCGUCACGCUAAUACACCCUUAAAAUAAUACAAUUUAGUGAGUUAGUGGUUACACUACUCACGCUAUGUGUUAGGUAAAUCGUCGUUUCCCGUUGCCAGAUACACGAUUAGGGUGGAUCCCCGCACCUUUGUUGAGAGAAUUUUAGCCAUCUGCCCUUGUGAGCCUCUCUUUCCACAGUUCGUUCCGAACCGUUCUCAAAUCUCUCCAGGCAGGAGAGUGAAAACCUUUCCCAGCAUAAAGGUAACUUAGUAGGAACGACUCGCAUCUUAUGGCCUUUUCCCGAUACUCAUACACCCACUUCGAUUACCAGGACUACAUGAUAGGGAUGUAGGUCAACACUUAGACGACCAGUACCCAAGGCACGGGAAAAAUUUAUGCCUAAUACGUUCAGGACAGAAAUGUCCAGGGUUAACCAUCGUCUCUUAUUACCUUAUAUUCCUUUCCGUGUAGGAAAACCAUGCCACCAAAGAAGCGUAACAAAUCCACAAGCAAGAAACCUGCUCUCUUAUUCGAUGAAGCUACGUUCCAAGCUGCAGUCUCGGCAGCCGUAGCAGCUGUCAUGGCUCACAUGAAUGCUAACAACGCAAAUAUUAGCAAGGGCCCUGUCGGGAAUUCCGAUCCUGGCAAUGGACAGCAGCAACCAACACUUUCAUACCCAGUCACCCAAGAACCUCAACCGAACCCACUAAAGAGAAAACUCAAGAUUGAGGGGGGUAGUACCUCGGCUCAAGGACCUUCCGAAGGGCAACGAGCUGGCCAAUGCUCCUAUAAAUCCUUCCCUCCCGGCUCCAAGAAGACCGUACCUAGGAGACCUUCCCCACUGCAGCAAGUGCAGCUACCAUCAUCAUGGUGUUUGCCGAGAGCUCUAUUAUGCUAGGUGCCACAUGUUGGGGCAUACUGCUCGCGUCUGCAGAACCCCGGUUGAGUUCAUUACCAUCAACCACCAAUGUGGCGACCCGUACAGUUUGCCACCUAUGUGGUAAAAUGGGACACUUCAAGAAGGACUGCCCAACCGAAGGGAAAGACAAAGACCCAGAAGGAGCCUGACACUACUGCUUAGGGAGAAGCGGCAAGGAACUCGUUAGAUUUUGGUACAUCUCUCGAUCUCGGAUAACUAAACUAAGAACAAUAAAAGACUAAUUCAAAUGUAAAUUCUUCCCAGUAAGACGAAAGUCGCAGCACUGUUAUAAAAUUUAAAAUUCAUUAGGUAAAACUGUAAUGGCUAAACAUAUACGUUACGGCCAUAUAUAUUUAAGAUGGAUAGACCUAGAGUGAGCGAAUGCUGCCUCAUUUCCUGUUCCUCGUUUGGUUGUGGAUUUACGGCGCGGUCGCUCAAUCAACAGUCCUCCCCACCUUAAAUAUACAUGACUUGUAUAUGUGAGGCGAUUAUAGAAAUGCCUCGUGAGAAUCCAUUCAUGAAAAGGUACUCUAUUCGGAAACACUUAGAACUCUCUAUAGUUCCGCAUCGACUCUAUCGGUCCAAGUAUCCGCGGUAGUGAUACAUAGGACGAAACCCGAGACGCCUAGAACUUGUGUGCCUGUUCGGCACAUGACUCUAUCAAUCUUCAUUUUAUAUCAUGUCGGAGUGUGCCAACUUCGACAACUCUAUUGAUCAUGGUUCGACUACGUGCAGCCAUGUGUACAUUCUUAGUGCUGUGUAAAAAGAACUUUCCCCGUAGCCAUGUCGGCAAAUAAAGGUUCUCCCGAACCUAACCCUAAAACAAAUAAUCAAACCUAAUGCGAUCCGUCAAUCGUCCCUCUUAUCUCAAACCUUCCGAAGUACCCAAGAGAGGGUACCCCGCGCCGUUGAUCGACCCCUCGUAGUCAGAUGAACACCGAAGCGAAAGACACUCCAGAUACUCUAGAAGACGACAACCAUCUGAAGCGUACUUCAUAGUUUCCCCAAAAAGACCCUUCGCACCUCGCACGUCAGGUUCGUAAACAUAGAGAUUAGAACUCAUGAGGAAUGACCACCAUAACCAAGUAUAUGCGUAAAGGUGGUAUACAAUUGAGAUCAAAAAGAUUUAAGGUGUGUGUUUCCUCCCUACUCCCUGUUCCUCGUUGGGUUGUGGAUUUGGGGUGGAGUCGCACAGCUGAACAUCCUGCCGACCUCGAUUGUAUACUGCUUGCAUACACCAAGUACUGGUGGUUAGGCUAAGUAUGAGCUCUACCACGAACCUCUUCGCAAAACAUUUUCACCCUAUUCCAUAACAUAGGAGCCGGAGUCAAGAGAAUCACUGCGGAUUAAGCUAGUAAAGUUCCGAGUGAUGAGACCCUAUACUCACUAGAUUUGACCUAGACCGAGAAAACUCAGAACCUUCGGAAGAGUAGUUGCAGUAUAUGCUCGCACUACUCAGGCACUUCGUUCACCCUGUUAUUGAUAAAUAGUGCCUAUCAUCCUCCACCCUCUCGCAUGGAGGAAGUCAUCGUCGCCCUAUAGACGAUAGACUACAUUCUCCGGAGUGAACACUAGGAUACCAAGAACCACAGGAUAACCUCCACAGCCAAGAAUACUUAAUCAAAGUGCGGAAGUAGUUGCGUUAAGCCUCAUGACCCAGAUCCCGAAGAGGUUAUAGACUUGACACCAGUCCUGGUGUUAGUCGAAGGGUUAUGCUGGAGCAAGCACUUUCCACGCUAGAAUAAACCAAAGUCUUAGAGAUUCAUUGGACUAUUAGGUGUUCAACGAAUACCAUCUCACGUAGAGAUAGUAGAACCACCUCCUGAGAUAGUCCAACGCUCGUCUGGUGAACCCCUAUCUCCUCGACCUGUAGGGUUUCUGUAUCUCAAGAUCCCUUAGUGCAGAUUCAUUUUGCACAAGCUUGAGAUAGACACUCUAUAGCAAAUGAAUAACCGUAGUCACGCAACCCACUUGACGAUCUAGAAAGUCUCUAUCAGCCAGAUGACAGGAAACGCGAGACCAAAGACCACCCGAGCUUUCUAAGAACCAACCUGAAGGACUACACACACAGUACGAGUGAGAACGUUAGGAACUUCGGAAUGGCAAUCACGCCAGUGAUGAUCUUGCCAUAGAAGUACACUAUGUUCUGAGUACUAAAAAGCUCUACCAUUCCGAGAGCUUAGGACCAUCUGAGAAUCCUUAUGGAGAUUUGGUCCAACCCUUUUCAGGCCACUACUACCUUUGGAUAUACCACAAGAUUCACACCCGAUCGAUCCACUUCUUAGACAUGAUACGUGACUUCCUGACAACACUUUUCGUGCCUCACUCAGCUUGAUAGAAUCCAUUGAGAAUCCUAACCUUGUAGAUACAUCAGUUGGAACCCACUAGCUACACGAGACAAAAUUCGCAUCCCGUACGUAGCGGUCUGUUGGAAUGACAAACCCGGACCAGAGAUCACUUGGGAAUGCGAGGACAAACCAUAUAGGAAGUACUCUCUUACCUCUACUUGGCCAUUCAUACCUACUUCCUUGCCUAGACCUGAAUUUCGGGACGAAAUUCCCUCUAACGGGGGGAUGAUGUGACAACCCAAGUUGUUCCGUUACAUUUCCCCGUUACCGUUAACGGAAUAUUCCAGUUUAUAAAAGUUCCGUUAAUUAAAGGUUGUCAACUUAAUAAACAUUCCAUUUGUUUACACCUAUUAUGUCGUUAAGUCGUGAUAAAAGGAAAUAAAAACACAUAACACACCUUUCCAUUUAAUUGGAAAAAGUUAGUUUUUAUUAUUAUGACCACUAAAUCGGGUGCGACCAAAAGCCCCGUUUAACGGCAGUAUUGGGUAGAAUUCCACUGAGCUCCAACUCCCACCCAUAUAUAAAGAGGAGUAAACCCCAUUUCAACCUUUUUCACACUCUCUCUCUAUACUCUCUCACUAGACCCGUUUUCGCCCCAAAUCCGCAACCAAACGCUUCCAAAUCGUAAGUCCGCUUACCCUAGCUUAUUCUAAACAUUAUGAUUUGUGUUUAUAGCCCAAAAAUCGGACUUAGAAGCUAUGGAAGAGGAGUUUACGGCCUAAGCUCCUCCUUAGGCCGUAAACACCUUAAAUGAGGCCAAAAUGACCCCAAAAUGUCCCUAAAGGCUUGGAAAUAAAUUAAGGGAUUUGCCUAGGAGUGUUUAAACAUUAAAUCACAUGAUUUUAGGGGGUAAAAGAGAGUUUACGGCCCAGGCAUAUGCCAAGGCCGUAAACACCUCUUAAACAUGUCAAAAAGCCCCAAAAACACUCCCAAACCACCCUAGGGCUUAAUACAUAAAUUAGGGGCUUAUCCUUUCGGGUUUAAAUCAUUUAAACACAAAGAUUUGGGGGAUUAAAAGGAGUUUACGGCCCAGGCAUGUACCAAGGCCGUAAACACCCCUAAACAUGCCCAAAUGAUAGUUUUAAUUCCCCCAAAUGGCCUCACACUUCAUUAUAAAUUACUAGCAAGGUAUUAGGGGCUUGAAACUUCACAAAACUCAAGGAAUGAGAGUUUACGGCCGUAAACUCCCUUAGGAGUUGUCCCUGGGCCGUAAACUCCAUUAAGAUGCCCUUAAAGACCUUAAACUCACUCAUACUAUAUAGUUUUGGACCUAGAAUAAUUCCAUGAACAAGUUAGAAGCCUUAAAACACACUAGAACCCCUCACCAUGAGUUUACGGCCGUAAACUCAUGGUGAGAUGUCCCUGGGCCGUAAACUAAGCUUUGGGAGUUUACUCUCGGAUAGUAAACUCCAUUCCUAAGCCAUACACACCUUUAGACGCUACCCGGGACACCCAAACACUUAACCAAAGUGUUUUCCGCUCCUUUGAGCGCGUAUACUUGUUUAAUUAGUAUUAAAUAUACUAAUUGUAUGUGAACAUAUGUUAUCAUAUGUUAAAUAGGUCAUUGUGUGUGUUCGAGUCCUUGCGUGACACCGAACGCCCAAACGGCACCUUCGUCGGACCUACUUACACCAGGUGAGUUCAUACCCCUGAAUGAACCUUUUAAAUGUUUUUACAUGUUUUAUAGGGGGGAAUACAAGUUAAACAUGCCAGUUAUCAUAUCAAUCACAUGUGAUUGAUAACCCGCAUGCACAAGAUUUUACCACACUGUACACUGUUUUACCGAGUAGGACACUAUAAUGGUUUUUCUAAAAGGUUUUCAUUUGUUUCAAAACUCGUACUUAUACUGUUUUAUCCUAAUUCAUUUUAAACUGGUUUAUGAAAGAUUUCCAAAGGUUUUCAAACAUAUUUUACAAAAGAAUACAAAUUAUGAUUUUUCCCCGAGUAUAAAGGCUUUUCCUCAAAGUUCCCUUUUACGACGUAUAUUCUUACUUGUUAGUUGCUACUGCUUCGCUUUCAUGUAUUUUAAACUCCUACUUGAUAAUGCUUUCUCUUCGUGAUACGCUUAUACCUGUUAUUGUCUCUAUUUCACUUAUACUUGUAGUCGCUUAUACCUGAUAGACGCUCUUACUUCACUUAUUGUCGUCUCUACUUCGUGAUACGCUUAUACUUGUUCGACACUCCUACUUCACUUGCGACCGCUCCUACUUCACUUGUUAGACACUCCUACUUCACAAGAAUCACUUCUACUUGAUACACACUCAGUCGUAGUUAGAUGUAUGUCUGUGCUUAUAUAGGUACAUAUAAGUAAUGAUUGAAAGACUUAGGAAGGCUCGUCCGCCCUAUUUCCUUUUCUUCGUUGAGAUGUGGUCUGGUGGGAUCGGAUGGCCGUCCGAAGGUCGUUUGAUUCAUUAGUUAUAUAUUAUGUAUAUGAGUAUGGACAUACAGGAAUUCUCUAGUCAGUUCAGUUAAGAGUCUCUACCUCUAGUCUACACUUACAUUAGAAACACACUACCCACUAUUUGGAAGUCUCUACCUCUAGUUCAGCACUUACACACUACCCACUAUUUGGAAGUCUCUACCCACUAUUUGGGAUGCAUCUUCAGGACACGGCCUUCUCCGUCGUCUAGUUGGUAACCAGAAUCUCCUGUAGGGAGAGCGGACAUUGUGUGUAUAGAUCUAUACGGGAUUGACAACCCCGCACCCAGACUGCUAGCUACAGUCCCGGCCUACCAAGCCAACGGGUGACAAAUGUCAUAUUUUAGACGCUUGUAGGGCGUCUGGUACUCUAGUCAGUAUGGUUACGAGUAUCCCGGGUUACCUUAUAAUUCAUUGGCUUUAAGGUAACGGUAUUUCACCGGCAAUUUACACUGUAUGCUGGUAAUUCAUUUUCAGAGUCACACUGUUUUGACCUUACAAGACGUAUCUUUCAUUUGAUACUGUCUGGGGUCUGUUUUCUCUGUUUUGACCUUACAAGACGUAUCUUUCAUUUGAGACUGUCUGGGGUCUGUUUUUCACUGUUUUCGACGUUACCAGCGGUACCUUUCAUUUGGUACCUUCUGGGGUCUGAGUCUCUAUUUGUUAGACUAAACCAGGCGUGUCGUUUGUUCGAUACUCUCCUGGAGUCUAUGAUUCCUUGCCUUAGUCAGCAGUCCUCACUGCUGAAGCAUAUGUUAUUCCCUGAUGUUGUUUGCUUUCCUCAAUAAUCAAAUUCAGUAUUUUGAUAAUGAUAGCAAUUUAGGGAAAAUGACUUUUUACCACAUAACACUGACCAGUCUUGGUAGAAGGCUGCUUUAUUAAAGAAAAUAUAGGAUUUUCUGGAAAGAACUCUAAUACACAGUAAACACUUAAACUACUACUUUAUAAAGUUAUUUGGAUAAAUGUCACUAAAUACUUAUGAACUCACCAGCAUUUGUAAAAAAUGCUGAUACUCGCUUUUCAAAUAACUUGUAUUCUCAGGUUAGCAUUAGACAGGUACAUCCCAGGAGCUGUUGAUGAAGAUAGCUUAGUUCCACGCUGUAUUUAUUCUAUUACUUGUAUACUUUGAUGUAUUGUAAAGUAACCAUGUAAAAUUAUUACUAUUAAUGCAAUGUUUUGUUGUAUUUUGAUUACUAUAAUGCAUGUGUUGUGAUACUUGACAUGACGUCAUCCACCCCAGAACGUUUCCGCCGUUCCGGUUUUGGGGUGUGACAGAUCCGAAGGAGAUUCAAAGGAUUUUCGAAUGAUAGUUGAGAGAGAAUUUGGGGUUUCAAUUGAUGACUUGAGAGAAAAGGGGUGUGUUUUCGGUUAGAAGAGUAGAAGUGAAGGAGUGAUUUCGUUUCCCCCAUACGAAUAGGGCCGAAAUCAUGAUGAAGCACAUGCAUUGAUUUGCGAACCGAUAGGAUAAGACUGAGGUUUGCGACCGGAAACCGAGGGUUUGCAGUCAGAAGAGAGUUCUGGGCCGAAAAUGGAAGGUUUGCACGUUUGCGGUCCAAAGUGUUUGUGGUCCUAAGCCUUUAAGCCAUGCGAUGGUUCUAUGUUUAAGAAAUUCACUUCCAUUUUAAGAAAUACUUCUAAUAAAAUGUUUUAAACACAUUUAGAAUUUAAAUCUAACUUAGUAAGAUAGAUCAAAAUAAGAACUUUGACUUUAGUUGACUUUUACAAUAUCGAAAUUAACGGGUUGUCACACUCUUUUUCUUCUAAAAUCUAACCUUUUGACUCCUUGAAACCCUAAUUCGAUUCAUCCAGGAAAAUGGGUGUUACACUUCAUGUUUAUCCGACUUGAAACCAAUGAGAUAUACAUAUUUUAAACUUUUCAUAGAAAUCAAUUACGGCCCCUAAAAGUGGUUUCAGUUCCUAACACUGGUUCUAUUUCUUAAACAUGGUUUACUCCAACCCGAUGGACCCCAACACGAAUUACCCGAAACCCAGAUAAUGUCAUUAUUUAAACCUGGAACUAGAAUUGGUUUUAUAUAUUCCAGUUUUAUAGGUUCUGGUUCCGGUCCAAUUUUCUAAUUUAAGUUCUCAUCCAUAGUUAUCACAUUCUAGACAAUUCUCACUUACAUAUAUGAUGUGAUACCCUUCGUGUCGUUUAUGUGUGAUGGACACAUGUUCCUAGAGUUCGGAACCUUGAAGUGUUUAGUAUGUCACAUGUUAAUUGUGAAGGGUUUUAUAGGUUAUUAAAAUACAUAUGAAGUGAAAAUCUUAACCCUUAAGUUCACAUGCAACCUAUAAAGGAUCUACAUUUUUGGUAAUUGAUAACAAUAAACUAUAAACAUCAAGAACCCAAAGGAAAAUAUUAUAAUCAAAAUAUAAAUAAGAUUAGGGUUACAUACCUUUCAUGUGUUGUAGUAAACAAAUCACUUCAAUCCCUUGUGUUUGAUGGUCUUGGAAAGCUAGCACUAAAGGGUGAUGUCUAUACUGGCUCACACCCAAAACCAUAAACCCUAGAAUGAAGAGGAGAGAGGAGAUAUAGGGGAAAUUUCAUUCAUCUGUUUAUAGAUAAUGCCAUAAACGAAAAUUUCAAGCCAAGGGGGCCUAAUUAUAGUUUAGGUAACUUGCAGACAAAACAAUAGUUGAAUUAAUUAAAUAAUCCUAUUUUAAAUCAUUUCCUUUUAUGCAACUAGGAGGCUUCCAAAAACCCUAGAAAACCCUCCAAAACCUUCCAUACAAUGGAGGGUUCUAGAAUUGCUUCUUUUGUUUAACUAUUAAACAAUUACAAUUCAUCCAUUGCACCUCUGAUUAAUUCCAAUUAAUUCUGAUUAAUAAUUAAUCAAUUCUAAUUGAUUUCACACUAAUUUUUUAAUUAUAUAAAUUAACAAAUCAAUUAUUUAACAAUUGAUCUCAUAUUAAUUUAUUAAUCACAUAAUAAAUCAAAAAAUUUACUAUAUAUUUUGAAUUAAUAUAUUAAUCACAUAAUAUACUAACAAAUCGUUUUCCCAUAAUUUCAAAUUAUUUUAUUAAUCAUAUAAUAAUCUAAAAAAUUAUACUUCUCUCUCAUAAUAUCAUUUCUAACUAAUUCUAGUUAUGAGGACAACCCCAAAAGGAUUUUUCUUCUAAUUACAAGAAUAUAUAAAUUUAGUUAUGAGCUUAGACACCUUAAUCCAACAAAUUUUAUGCAAGUUAUUUCCCAUCAUUUUCGGUAAGAUGAGCUCAAUCCCCAUCAUUUUGAUUAGGUUUUUUGCACUUUGAGGUAAACUUGUGAAAUAGGUUAGAAGCAUGUUGCAUAGCAUAAUAUUCACAAUGAUGGUCUAUGUUUUUUGAAGUGGGCUAAGGUUGUAAAGUGUUUACAUGUCUUUGAAAUACUUAUUUCCAAAAUACGAAUUAUUACUAGAAAUUUGAUGUUUUGAAAACAUUUUAGGGGUUUAUAUUGUGUAUGGAAUGUGUAAGUUCUUAACACUUAACAAUGUUAAACCUGUUAUUGCUUACCAGGCUUUCCAAGUGUAAUCUAUGUAUUUUUAUAUGUGUAAAUUAUGUGAUUUAGUUGAAGUCCGAAAAAUGCAUUUUAUCAUUUUUAAAGCUUACAAGGCAAAUGGUUGUUGUAAACAAUAAUAUCUCCCAAUGAUAGUUUAGAUAUUAUCUUUUAUUUUAACAUAUGAUAUCUAUUCCCUGUAAAUGUUUAUUUACUUUCCUUUCAUGGUAAAUGUUUGUAUUAUAAAGUCUCAAUGAAUGAAAGGCACAAGAUAUGUCGAUUUCAUAAGCCUUACAUGGAAUCAGCCUAAACUUAUGAUCCUUCUCCAACCCUAAUUCUUUUCGCUAGGGUUGGUGAUGAUACCACCUUUUCCUUCUCUACCAUCUUACAUAUGAUUACAAUUAAGCUUUCAUCCUCCAAUUUCCACUUAUGGAAAAAUCAGAUUAUGCCGCUUCUUUCUUUCUAGAAGCUGCUAAGGCACAUCGAUAGCACUAUUGUUCUGCCCCCUCCAUAAUUGAGGUCAACACCAAGGUUGUCCCCAAUCCCGCCCUCUCUAAGUGGUAAGGUGAUGAUCAGUGGGCAUUAAUUUUUCUUCAUUCUUCUCUUUCUGAAGAAGAUAUGUUCAAAGUUCUUGGCCUCAAGACCGCUUUUGAAGUAUAGAGUUCCCUCUAACGUCCCUACAUCCAUGACUCUAUUGAACGAAUGCAGUCCCUUUGUGACUCUCUACGUCAUCUUCAGAAAGGUACUAUGUAUGUCUCUAAUUAUGUUCACCAGUUUAAGGGUAUAUGCGACCAACUUGUUGCAAUCUAUCCCCUUGUGGAUAAAAUCGACAAGUCCCAUUGGUUCUUGUGUGGUCUUGGGUCAAGUUUUGAAACCUUCUCUAUUUCUCAGCACACUCACACCCCUUGUCCAUCAUUUCGAGAUUUACUUUCUUAGGCCAAAAUUUAUGAUCUCUUUCUUAAUAAUAUGCAUGUUUCUACUGUUCCUCAAGCUGCCUUUUUUACCAUUCAAAAUCGUUGUGGUUUUUCUGGUCAUGGAUAUACCAAUAAUAAUAAGGGUGGCUCAUCCAACAUCCACGGAACAGGUUAUUUUGGUGGUCGUGGUAGAGGUCGUAUGACCCCUCAUUGCCAAUUAUGUCAUAAGGAUGGUCACUACGCGUCUGCAUGUCCUGAUCUUGCCUCUUUUGCAAACCAAUCUCCAUUAUUUAUUUGAUGCUAAUCUUGCUACUGCGUUUCACUCUUAGUGCCAUGUUAACAAUAGCUCUCCAGAUUCGUAUGUUGAUACCAGUGCAACAACCCAUAUGACUCCAUCUCCUUCCAAUCUCAACAACUCUCAACCUUAUAAUGUCAACGACCAAGUUGCAUUUGGUAAUGGCCAAAAUCUUCCUAUAUCUCAUACUGGUCAAUCUUUUCUUUUAAAUAAGAUACAACUUUUUUAUGUUCUUGUCGUUUCUCAUCUCACAAAAAAUCUUCUUUCUAUUAGAAAAUUAACGAAUGAUCAACCCCUUGAUGUCUUGUUUUCUAAUUCUAUUCAACACCGCCUCACCAAGGCCAUUCUAGCUUAGGGUUGGGUUGAUCGAGGUAUUUACGUUUUAGAGCAUGGUCGAAGGGCGUUCUUAGCAAGUCUCUCUCGGUCCAAAGCCUCCUUUGAUGUUUACCAUAGUCGCUUAGGCCAUGUCUCUUUUGAUGUUACUUCCUUUUUAGCAAAACAUGGUCGUUUGUUUGUUAGUUCUUUAUUACCUACACAUAAGUUAUGUUCUGCUUGUCAACUCUCUAAGAGUUUACCUUUUGAAAUAAAUUCUAGUUGUUAUUUUCAUGUUUUAGACCUUGUUCAUUGUGAUUUAUGGGGUCCGUCUCCGGUUGAUUCUACCGAUGGUUAUCGUUACUAUAUAUUGUUUAUUGAUGACUUCUCUUACUUUACAUGGUUUUACCCCUUAAAAUCCAAAGCUGAUGUGUUUGAUGUUAUUUUUGCAUUUGUGACUUUUUUUCAAACUCAAUUUUCUUCCAAGUUAAAAACUUUUCAAAGUGAUGGAGGUACUGAGUUUAUAAAUCACAAGGUUCGAAAUCUUUUUCUGGCUAAUGGAACUCAUCAUCAAAUUUCUUAUGCCUAUAGUCCAUAGCAAAAUGGGUGUGCUUAAUGUAAAUACAGGCAUGUCACAGAAACUGGUUUGACAACGUUUUUUAAUGCUAACGCUCCUGCUUCCAUAUGGGUUGAUGCUUUCUCAUCAGCUACAUAAAUCAUUAACCGUCUUCCUACCAAGGUGCUUCAACAACAAAGCCCUUUUGAACUUCUUUUUUGGUUCGAUCUUAAACUAUAACACUUUACGUGUUUUUUGGCUGUCGGGUAUUCCCGUAUCUUCGUCAUUACUCUCCACACAAAUUAGCUCCUCGGAGUAUUUCAUGUUUUUUUAUUGGCUACAAUACACAAUAUAAAGGAUAUCGGUGCUUGGAUCUUACCACCUCUCGCAUCUAUACAACACGUCAUGCUCAGUUUGACGAAGGUGUCUUUCCAUAUGUUGGUGAGUUACCAACUGUUAAUCAAGCCUCCUUAAUUUUUUCCAGCUACAGUAAGCUCUCUAUGCCUAUAUUGACUACUCCUCAAACCAACCCCAUGACUGCCGCUCCAACAUCGCAACUUCCUACUGUUGCUCCAGGAUGUUGUUCGCUUUGCCUAGACUCUGUUGUGGGCCAUGAUUGCCAGUAGCCCACUCCAUUGUUGCCUUCUUCAUAGCAGCCCACGCAUCAUCAUUCCAUAAAUGAGCCUAUCAAUGAGUCCGAUAAUGAGCCUUCUAUAUAGCCCGGUAACCCUUCUGUCCAAGUUGUGCCCCCGCCUAAUCCACCUGUUGUUCUCGUUACCUCCACGCAUCCUAUGCAAACACAAUUUCGCUCUGGUAUAUCCAAAAAAUGACACGUUGCGGAUUUUGCUCAACUUCAACACAAUGCGCUUCAUAUUGCAUUGUUUUCUACAAAACAACUGCAUGGUUUCAAAACCGCAACCAAAGAUCCGAAAUGGUUUGCUGCCAUGAAAGAAGAAAUGCAUGCUUUGCACACUAACGAUACAUGGUCUGCUGUUCCUUGGCCUAAAUCCUCAAAUAUUGUUGGUUCUAAUUGGGUCUUCCACACCAAAUGUCAUUCUGAUGGGUCUGUGGAUCUUCUAAAGGCUCAGUUAGUUGCUCAAGGUUUUACUCAAGUACUUGGUUUAGACUACAAUCUAACCUUUAGUUUAGUUGUCAAGGCUUCCAUUCUGCAUAUUGUACUCUCUUUGUUUUUCUCCAUAAGUGGCCUCUUCAUCAAUUGGAUGUCAAAAAUGCAUUUUUGAAUGGACAUCUCAUUGAAAGGCAAUUCCCUUGAUAUGUUUGUCAGCUCAAAAAAGGAUUUAUAUGGUCUUAAAUAGGCUCCAAGGGCUUGGUUUCAGUGCCUUAGUAUCUUUCUUGUGCAACUCAGGUUUGUUUGCAGUAGAGCUGGCACAUCUCUUUUUGUCUACAAGCUUGGUCCAUGCAUAUUAUAUAUCUUGGUUUAUGUUGACGACAUUAUUCUUACGGGGAAUGCUCCUUAUACGAUUAAACGAUUUAUCUCUUGUCUUAAUCAAGAGUUUGCAAUUGAGGAUUUAGGUUCACUUAGUUACUUUCUUUGUUUGCAGGUUACUUAUAAUGUAAAUGUUUUAUUCUUAAGUCAAGAAAAAUAUGAUCAUGAUGUUUUAGUUCGUGCUGGCUUGCUUGAUUCCAAACCUAUUGCUACUCCCUUAUCCACUACUGAUUAUCUAUCUAGCUCUUGCACUCCAUUAUCAGAUCAAACCACCUAUCGAUGUCUUGUCAACGCUCUCCAAUAUCUCACCAUCACCAGGUUCGAUCUCUUGUAUGUUGUCAAUCAAGUUAGUCAAUUCCCACAUGUGCCCACUACUGAUCACUUUCAGGCACUAAAAAGGAUCUUGCGUUAUGUCAAAGGGAUGAUAUCUUUUGGACUUUCCUUCACCCAUUCUUCCUUUCCAUCCAUACUUGGCUACUCUGAUACUGAUUGGGCUCGUUGUCUUGAGACUCGAAGAUCUACUUAUGGAUAUUCUAUUUUUCUUGAUGGUAAUCUUAUCUCUUGGAGUGCUAAGAAACAACCUACUGUCUCUCGUUCAAGUUGUGAAUCUGAAUAUCGUUCAAUGGCCAACACAAUUGUUAAAAUUGUUUGGGUCACUCAUCUAUUAAGAGAGCAUCAUGUCGUACCUCCAGAUAGACCUACUCUUCUAUGUGAUAACCAGAGUGUGAUCUUUCUCAGCUAAAAUUCUGUUUCGCAUAAAAGAGCUAAGCAUAUUUGUAUCGAUUAUUUUGUUCGUGAACUUGUGUCUUGUGGCAAGCUUUCCACUAAGUUUGUUCUUACCAAGCUUCAACUGGCGGAUAUCUUCACCAAAGCUUUUCUCAACCGCUUUUUUAACACUUUCGCUCCGAAUUACACAUUUGAACGUUGCCUAUUCGCUUGAUGGGGGUGUAAACGACAAUAUCUCCCAAAUAUAGUUUAGAUAUUAUCUUCUAUUUUAAGAUAUGAUAGCUAUUCCUUGUAAAUGUUUAUUUACUUUCCUUACAUUGUAAAUGUUUGUAUUAUAAAGUCUCAAUGAAUGAAAGGCGCAAGAUAUGCGGAUUUUGUAAGCCUUACAAUUGUGAUGUAAGAUAUGUUACUUCAACCAUUGUCUCUUGUUUAGUUUGUUACAUCAUUAUAUGUCUUAAUAUUUUAAACAUUUAAGUAUAAAAGAUUUGACUAUUUGUAGAUGUUAUCUAUAAAAAAUAUAUUUUUUUAAAAUGAUUGUUGUUUUACAAAUACUUUGACAAAUUUUAUUUUAAAUUAAAUACUUCAAAUUACUUAUAGAUAGGGUGUUUCACAUAUUUAAAUUAAGUGAAAACUGUAAUAAAGUCCCUAAAUAUUGGCCUUAUAAUCGAUUUAGUCCUUAUAUAUUUUUUUUUAUUCAAUUAAGUCCCAAAUACUGGUAAUCGUAUUCAAUUUAACCCUUUGACCCGGUCAACAGGUCAUCCAACUUUCAAAAAUUACAUUUUUGGGCCAGAUUUCAAAAUUUAUUUCAAAUUUUGUCCAAAAUUUAAACUUUUGGCCCAGAUUUUAAUUUUUAUUACAAAUUUGGUCCAAAAUUUACCCUUUUUGCCCAAAUUUUAGAAUUUUAUUAUGAAUUCAUCCUAACUUUAGUUUUUUUUACAACUUUGUUUCUCAAAAAUUUGUUUCUAAUAUGUUUUUUCUUUAUAAACUCAUAUUUAUACAAAAAAAAAAGAUAUUUUCACAUAAAAAUCUUAUUUUUUUCUACAUAAAACUUUUUUUAAAAGGUUUUUUGUAUAUAAAAUAUCUAGUUAUAAAAAUAGGUUUGGACUAUUUGUGUGAUAUCUCUUAAAAAAUCAAUUAAGAAACUAAAAGUAACCAUAAAUUAUAAAAAUAGGUUUGGAUUAUUUGUUCUUUAAUCACAUUUAUAUGAAAGUUUAAACUAGUUACAUUAUAUAUGAAAGUUUAAAAUAUAUAUAAUAUAAUAAUAUUAUAUUUUAUUCGUAAGAUUUUUUUUAAGAAAAAAGUUAAAAUCAUAACUUUGAUAUAUUUUUUAUAACUUUUUAAUAAAUAUAUUAUCUAAAUAAAAAAUAUCCAUUCAUGGCACGUGUUCGAACUAGUUUGUGAUUUUUUAUUGCCAAUCAACCACUUCUUACUUGGAUUAUUUAUAAUCUUGUAGUUCCUUUCUUUUUUAAUGUCUGUUAUAUGGAAUACCGGUUGCAAUUUAUUAUCAAUAAACAUGUUUUUAGGGGAGUGAGAAAUGACCAAAAACACAAUAGCAACAUAAAUAUAUAAAAUAUUAUAACUAUCAAUAACACAAUAGAAUACUUUAACUAAAGUUCUAAAGAAUUUACACAUGAGUUUGGUUAAAAAAAAUUACUCAAAGACCUGAAAAAUGCUUGAGUUGAGCUUCACAAGGAAUUUUUUUAACCAAACUCAUGUGUAAAUUCUUUAGAACUUUAGUUAAAGUAUUCUAUUGUGUUAUUGAUAGUUAUAAUAUUUUAUAUAUUUAUGUUGCUAUUGUAUUUUUGGUCAUUUCUCACUCCCCUAAAAACAUAUUUAUUGAUAAUAAAUUGCAACCGAUAUUCCAUAUAACAGACAUUAAAAAAGAAAGGAAAUACAAGAUUAUAAAUAAUCCAAGUAAGAAGAGGUUGAUUGACAAUAAAAAAUCACAACCUAAAUCGGACACGUGUCAUGAAUGGAUAUGUUUUAUUUAGAUAAUAUAUUUAUUAAAAAGUUAUAAAAAAUAUAUCAAAGUUAUGAUUUUAACUUUUUUCCUAAAAAAAUUCUUACGAAUAAAAUAUAAUAUUAUUAUAUUAUAUAUAUUAAACUUUCAUAUAUAAUGUAACUAGUUUAAACUUUCAUAUAAAUGUGAUUAUAGAACAAAUAAUCCAAACUUGUUUUUAUAAUUUAGGGUUACUUUUAAUUUCUUAAUUGAUUUUUUAAGAGAUAUCACACAAAUAAUCCAAACCUAUUUUUAUUACUAGAUAUUUUAUAUACAAAAAACAUUUUAAAAAAAGUUUUUAUAUAGAAAAAAAUAAGAUUUUUAUGUGAAAAUAUGUUUUUUUUUGUAUAAAUAUGAGUUUAUAAAGAAAAAACAUAUUAGCAACAAUUUUUUGAAAAAAAAGUUGUAAAAAAACUAAAGGUAGGAUGAAUUCAUUGUAAAAUUCUAAAAUUUGAGCAAAAAGAGUAAAUUUUGGACCAAAUUUGUAAAAAAAAUUUAAAAUCUGGGCCAAAAGUGUAAAUUUUGGACCAACUUUGUAACAAAUUUUGAAAUCUGGGCCAAAAAUGUAAUUUUUGAAAGUUGGAUGACCUGUUGACCGGGUCAAAGGGUUAAAUUGAAUAUGAUUACCGGUAUUUGGGAUUUAAUUGAAUUAAAAAAAAAUAUAAGGACUAAAUCGAUUAUGAGGCCAAUAUAUAGGGACUUUAUUGCAGUUUUCCCUUAAAUUAAUGGUCAUUAUAUCAAUGUUUUACAACCAGUUUUUUAGUUGAACCGGUAUGGUGACCGAUUCUCGGUUCAACCGGUUUAACCGGUUCACCCGUUGGAUCAACUGGUUUCUCUAAUUUUCGCUUUGUUCCUAUUUUACUACACAUACAUACACAUACACACACAUAUAUAAAUCAAGAACUUGAUGACUACAAGUUUAAACAUUAAAAAUACAUAUAAAAACAAGUUGUAAAUCCAAAUACAUUAAAAUAACAUAUAAGCAUAAGCUUUACAUCAAUUCACAUAUACAAAAAAAAGGUAUAAUUUUGGAUGAAUACAAACACAUAAAAAAAACUUUAUAAAACUUACAAUUUGUUUUUAUUUAGAUAAAGCUAAAUAGAUGUGAAAAAAAUCACUAAAGUUUAUUAUGCAAAAUAGUUUUUUUCUAUGUGUUUUUAUUAAAUUUAACCGGUUCGACCAUGUUUUUGUAAAACCGGUCGAUUCAUUCUAGUUCGAAAUAAUCAUAAAGCCAAUGAUAAUAAAAUCGCUCUUUUCCUUGAUUUCCCAUCCAACUGGUUUGACUAGCCAGGAACCGGUUUUAAAACAUUGCAUUGUAUACAAGAUGCGGUGCUUUCUCACCAAAUGGGUUAUCUUUUUUGCUCCUUCAAAAACUAAUGCUGCUUCAUGUCAUCAUGUGUUCUACAAAAAAAUAAAUAAAUAAAUAAAUCAGUUUACUCUUAAUUCUUUCUUUCUCUUUUUAAUUUCUUUCCAAGGCAAAAGAAUAUUUUCAUCAUAUAAUUUGAUUUGAGUGGAAUUCAUUGAGAUUCCAUAUAUAUGUUGAAGGGAUGUUAAAUUCCUUUGAAGGGCAUAAUCCAAUUAUGUCAAGGUCUUUAUCCAAACAUGAAAUGGAUUUUAGUCAACUGGAAUUUAGAAUAUUUCCAUUAUAGAGUAUAAAUUUAGAAUAUAAGAAAAUGAGAAAAUAAAUAUGUUCUUAUAAUUUAUCGUGUUUAUCUUUCUAUCCGUAUUAAAUGGUUACAAAUAGAUUAAAAUAUUAUUAAGAAAAAUUAAAUGUGACACAUGUCAUCAUUUAAUAUUAAUAGGAGGAUGAUAGGAAGAAAUUUUAAGUUCUUUUAAAAUAUUUUCAUUAUAUAGUAUAUUGAAUUACCAUGUACCAAAUAUUUUGUAAAUACUAUUUAUUAAUGAUUCUAAUAGUUUGUACAAUUUUUUUUUUGUCAUACAUAAUGAUUUAUGUUUGAAAAAAUUAUAUAAUAUAAAAAAGUUAUAUAAUAUAGAACAAAAUUUUACAAAAUAUAAAAUGUAUAGGUAUGUAUAUACUUAAUAUUGUUACUAUAUAUAGUAGGUGCACAUGAUCGACAUGUAGACCUCUUUCAAAUUCAAAUAUUCCUAAUUUGAUUAUAAAUCAAAACUUUGAAAAACAAAGGAUGAUUUUUGGUAAGUUUUGUAGAUAAUAAUUUGCCAUGACAUGUGAAAAAUCUAUUGUGAUGUGUUUGGCAUCUUACCCAUUUUUAGUUCUUUAUUCGUGCAAUUAAUUUUAAAGUUGUUUAUAUUUAUGUUACUUUCUGUCAAAAAAUACAAAUCGAGAAGUGCUAUGUCCCCUAUCAUAUUGAUAAACUAAUUUUUCCAUUUCGUUUCCGUAAGCAAUACAUUCAAAAGAAUGUGUAAGCUGACACUAUAUUGUCAUUUCAAAGAAAAACUUUCAAAUGAUAUAAUAUAAGUAAAAUAUGUCAAAAUAACUAAUAUUUUAUUUUACAAAACAUUUAAGUACAGUUAACAAUUUAAACAAGUAGAUUUUUUUUUUUAGAAUUAUAAUAUGAUAGUAACAAAAUUUUAAAAUAAAUUUUGACUAUUGUUAUUAUUUUUGUUUAUACUGAAAAGAAAAUAUCUAGCUAGCAGACAUUAAAUCAUGACACAUGGAUUGGGUUGAUCACCUACAAUUUCAAUUCCUUUCAAAUAUAUUACGUAUAACAAACGUCUUAAAUGAGAAAUAAAAACAUUUUUAAUAUAUUACCAUAAAAUAAUGCAAAAGAAAAAAAAUAUUUCAAAAUUAUUAAGUUAAAAAAAAAAAAAAAAAACAGUAUCUCGCGACUUAAAAUCAUUUAACCUUUAUUCUCUAUCCAUCGGUGGUAGUCUAAGUAUUUAAGAUUAUAAGGGGUAGAUCAUAGAUGCUUAUUUAUUUAACACCAUUUUAUUUUAUUUUUCCAUUUAUGGAAUAAAAAUGUUUUUUUUACACAAAUUAUAUGCCAAUGUUUUAAUUUAAUAUAAAAAAAUAUAAUAUAUGUCGGAAAUCAUUUCAUGAUGUAUAAUCAUAAUAAAAGCAAAGGGCCCAAGACUGCAACUGUCCUAUGUCUAUAUGAAAAAUAUGUGUACGCUGAAAGGAAGAGACAAGGAUAAUGGGCCACCAGGCCCAGGACCAUCCACAACUGAAACGAAUCAAUGGGCCCACCAUUUUUAAGGACAAAUAGCUGUCUAUUUCCACUUAUAGCAACCCAAUGCCACUGCCAUUAUUGGAAUGCAACCUCUUAUAAUUCCCAUAAAUGUAUAAUCCAAAAAUAGAAUAUCAACUCAGCAACUCGGGUGUAUGACUCGAUGAGUUGAUUGAUUAGUUUGUUUCUUUUGACUCGGUGAGUUGACUGGGUUGUUGAUUUUCUUGGUAGCUUUUUUAGAUUCUUUAUUUGAAGAACACUUCAAGCCAUUUUUGUAGUAGCCUAGUUUGGUCUUUAUUUUUUGCUAUAAUGAAAUAACUUUCUUUUGUAUAAAUAUAAAAGUAAAUGUUCAACAUUUUUUUAAUUAAAAGAUAUCGAUUUGAUGUAUAUGUUUUAUUAUCAUUUAUUGUUUUUAUGUUUUAUGUUUAAGAUUAAUAUUUUUACAAAAUGGUUAUUAAGGUAGUAAGAUUGUAUGUGAGUGCUAUACGGUGAGUGAAUUUUGUUCUUACUAUGGGAUCAUUAAGGUUCUGUACGUAGAUGGUCCACAUGGUUAAAUUACUAAUAUAAAAUGUCUAAAUUACACUUUCUAGUUAUUUAUUUAUUUAUUAUUUUGAAAUUUUAAAAAACGAAAAGUAGUAAAAGAUAAACUCACAUGGGUAAUAUAACCACAGGAGCCAUUUUAGUACCAAAAUAAAACCUUAACAUCAUAUAACUAGAAAGAAAAGUUUGAAUCCCAAGACCAUUUUGAGGGUAUAUAUAAUGGAGUUUUUUUUAUGGCUCUUUUGGAUAGAGAAUCAUUGAAUCCAUAUAUAUCUUACACUAACUUGCUUGUGAUGGAACCUUUACAUAUGAUAAAUAAAGUCUACACUUACUUGGUAGCAACAAGUCAUUUUACACCCCAACCUCGUGAUUCUUCUAAUGAAGUUUUAAGUUUUGAUGUCAAAGCUUCCUUAAGUCGUUAGUCUAAUCAGUAAAGCAACAAAGAUGCCAAAGAAAGCCGUUAUAUGCACUUUAGCGGUGAACAAUGCCAAAGAAAGCUUCCUUAAGUCGUUAGUCUAAUCAGUAAAGCAACAAUAAACAUGAAUGCCAAUUGUAGCACUACUACAUGGACUAUUGACUUUGCCUCAAGUUUGCCUCAAGUUAUGUGAAUGGAAAUAUCAAUUUUGUUACUAACAUCAGUGAUCACAUCCAUUGUACAACUAAAUUAGCUACUGAAAAACAAGUUUUAGCUACAAUUAAAGGAUUUUUUCUUGUAUUAACUCGUGCUUAAGUCUCAAAGAGGUCCUUUAUGUUCUGAAUUUAUGUUGCGAUCUUAUCUCUGUUUCAUAGUUAAUUCGAAAAAUAAGUACAUUCUACUAUUUAACGACAUGCUUGAUUAUCUAUAUAACUUUACUACGAAUGCGGUUAAACAACAAAAAGUUGAUUGUUUUUAUUUAUGGAAUGCUCGAAUAUGAUAUCCAUCUUCUUGACUUCUUGAUCUUUUAUCAAAUGCUGGUGUUUUGUAUUCUCGUUCAGUAUCUUCUAGUAUUUGUGAUGUUUCUGUAAAAUAAAUCUUAGAUCUAGCUAAAUUUUCCCUAACUAACAAUAAUGCAACACAACUUUUUGAACUUUUCCAUUGUGAUUUAGGGGCUAGUAUUAAAUCCCUUCUGAUAAACCUACUUAUUUUCUAAAAACUAUAAAAUAUUGUUUAAGAUUUGUCUUCAUAUUUUUGUUCAAAGAUAAAGAUGAUGUUUAAACCAUGGUUAUUUUUUUAGCCUUUGUCCAAAGGCCAAUUUGAGAAGAAUGUUAAGAUUGUCUGUAGCAAUAUCGGGACCAAAUUUAAUGUUCUCAAACCUUGUUUUAUAGCAAAUGUUAUCGUGACAUACAUCUUUUGAUGUUACUGAAAGGUCCAGUAUGCUCAAGAGUCGUAUUAAAUUGAUAUUGCUAAUUAACAUAUGAUACUAAUGGGUCACACUAACAACAACUUGAUAUAAUUGAUUAUUUAUUAGAAAUUGAUUUUAAUAAAUAUUCAAUAAACUCUUAUAAUUAAAUUGGAAAUUAUUUAUUUCUAGGAAAUCAUAAUUUCCAUUAGCAAGUAACAUUAUACAUAAUUCAUAUGGUAUGAAUUAAUAAGUCAUGCACAAUAUUUUGGAUUAGAUAAAUUCUUUUGUCUUUUACCAAAAAGUUAAUGUUAAUAUUUUAUAAACUUGGUUUAUAAAAUAUAAAGCUUUUUUCUUCUUCCUUUUACAAUUUUUUUUUUAUAAAAUAAGAAUCAAAAGACAAGAGUAUGACUUUCAUGUUUGUUUAAUCAAAAGUAAUAAGAAGUAUGAGAGACAUGUAAGCUUUAGGGACAUGCUUGUCUAAAGUGAAAGGACCUAAUGGUUAAAGACUUCACUUUAAGACAAUAUAAAUAUGAGGUUUCCACUUUUCAAUAGGGUGCUUCAUUCUUGCUUCCCAAAACUGUAACCUCCUUAGAGGCGGUUACUCUCUCUUUUCUUCAUUUCUUCUUGCAGAUUACUUGCAAUUUCAUUCCCUCUUUAAGUACAUAUUGAUUACGAACUUAUAGCUUAAGGGAUUAAGAGUUUAUGGAUUAGCAUCUACAUCAAGUUGAUUCAUUGUUGGCAUCUCAAAAGGUUCCACGUUCUUCAUCAACUUCCAAACCUCCUAAAAGGACCCAAAGAACUACAAAGGUUGUCACUUCUUCACCUCUUCUUUGAUUGGUGUUUAAAUCUUUCUACAACUUGCAAGAAGAUCCUUGGUGGGUAUAAAAUGUUAUGUUAUGUUCCAAAUUUUAAUUCUUUCGUUGCUAUAUUUUUCUAGUUUAUGAAACUACUUUUGAACAAAAACCCAACAAUUGGUAUUAGAGCCACCUUGCAAGUUCGGUAAGAUUUUUUUUUGUUGAAAUCUUAGUUUUUGGAGAAUAUGGAUAACUUGUUUGUGUAUAAAAAUAAGUUCAUACAUAUUUUCUAUGACAACUUUAUAAUUGUUAUUUAUUUUAUGUGAUAAAAGUUCUUGAAUCUUUUGUCAUUUAAAGUUGUCUUAGAAAAAAAAGGUUGUUUCAUGUGUAUGUUGAUGUGUAUGAUGUGCAUAGACUAGCUAAGGACCAUUAUGAUUAUUGUGUUGCUGUGUUUGUUGUUUUUGUUAUAAAAAUGGUUGUAAUAAUUUAUUUAUUCAAAUUGUAACAUCCCGACUCUUAGGUAUAAUAUUUAAUUAAAUUAUAUUCAUUUUGUCAGGGCAACUCGACGAGUUAGAGGCCCCAACUUGCCGAGUAUAGAUGGAGAUAGUCGUGUGAUUUUUAGAGUCUACUCGACGAGUUGGGGGGACCCGACUCGAUGAGUAGGUGUUGAGUGUGAAAACCUUGUUAAGUCGUUAGUGGAGCGUGUGUGGUUAACCGGUACACUAAUCUAGGACUGACAGUGCAUGGCAAAGGGUAGCUUGAUGUUAAUCAUAGAUCAAUGGAGCGUGUGUGGUUAACCAACACAUUGAUUAGGUGGUUGUAACAUUGGGUAUAUCAAGCUAAUUUUCAUGGUUAUUCACACCUUGUUUGUGAUCCUCGGCAUCCCAAUCACAAACAUGAAAGGCACAAUCGAGAUUUAAACAUGCCAUUGAAAAGUUCAAUGAAUCUCAAAGGAUCUAGGAAUUUCAAUCCAUUUAAAACUUAUUUAUCAAUUUCAUUUUUCAUGGUGGAAAUUGGUAAAUCGUCAUUUACCUACUUUCAAAUAUUUUGAAAUAGGAUUACGGCAACCCUCUUCCGAAUUGUAAAAUAUUGGGUCCUAGCCUUAAUAUUUCAUUUGGGUGUUAUAUUAAGGAGUUAAAUCAAUUAACUUGAAUUUCUCCAAUUGAAGAUAUCUAGUUCAGAAAACUAUAGUCUUCCCAAAUCUUUUAAAACAAACAUUCAUCUUGAAGAUGAUAUCCCACAUGGCGAUCAAGGUGAGAGAUUAAUUCCUUUGUCGUGCAUUAGUGGAAAUGGAAAUCAUACUUCACUUCCUCUACCUCCUCCAAUUAUUCUCCCUAACCCACAAGUUCAAAGACUUGAAAAAUUCAAGAUCAUUCAAACCCUAUUAGCAAGUAAACACCAAGAUGGAAAGUUUGUGUGUGCACAUGUCUUGAAUAUGAAGUCACACAUUGACAGCAUGAGAUUGUUGGGUGUCAUGUUCCCAAGGAAAUUGGCUAUUGACUGGGUUCUUCAGUCACUUCCGGAGUCAUAUAGUGAGUUCAUUAAGGACUACUAUGUGACAGACCACGACAUGACCCUUAUUGAUCUUACCUAUUUGCUUGUUGCUACUGAAUCAACAAUGAUUUGGUGCACUGGAAAAGUAAAUUUGAUUGGAAGAUCUACUUCCUAAACUUCCAUGGACAUUGGCAAUGGUAACAUUGGAAGUCCAGAAAAGAUUUCUCUUCCCAAUGGAAAGGGAUCAGCCAUAGUCAACCCGGUUGACCAAAUGGUAAAGAGAAAGCCUAAGUCUGUGAUUGUCUCAUGUGCCAAUGCAAAAGAAGCCAUUCGUUUAUACUGCCAUUUGAAGGGACAUUGGAAGCGAAGCUGCCCUGACUCCCAGAACGAUCCGAGAGAAGAUAGCAUUCGCAAUCGAUCCUAUACCCGAAGCGUAUGGGACACGAUGCAUAAUGUCUUAGAUAAAGAUAUGACACUUUAUCAAUCUUCUGCCAUAAUAUUUUAUGUGUCACAUUCUCAUAAUUCAAACUAUGAAGAGGGAUGCCGUAAUCAUAAUCGAAAUUUGAGAACACACUAUGUAUCCUUUGACUAAAUUUAUUAAAAUUUCUCAAUCUAAGCUUUAGAUUUUGAAACGAAGUAUAAUAUUCUCUCCCGUAAUUAUAGCAAAACAACUUUUUUAAACCAUGCAACUUUGCAAAUUGAAUCUUUGUUUUUUUAUAAUUAAUAUUGCUAACUUGCAAUACUUGCCAUAAUAAUCAUACAAGAAUAACACUUAUGCUCUCACUAACAAAAUGAUUAUUUCCUUACAAGCAUAACAUUUAUGCUCCCACUAGCUUUGACAUGUAUUCAGAGAACAACUGAACUUCCAGAAAACAAUGCUUAUUGAAUUUCUUAAGUUCAUAUUUCUAAUAUUUGAUGCUUUGAUAAUCCUUUAUCUAAGCUUCUUAAACUUAUACACCUUUGCCUUAGAUAGCUCAUAUGUGUGUCAGAACUUAUAUCAAUAAGUCCCAAAUGUUAGACUUAUUGCCAAAUCUCACAAUUCGAACUAUGGAAAGGGAUACCGUAGCCAUAAUCGAAUUUGAGAAUACAAUUUUUACAAUUGCUAUCUUCUUAAAAUCUCUCUUAGUGAAAGCAUUUCCUCACAGUCAUUUUCAUGAAGGAGGGAAUCUUAUGACACUUAGAUUAUUAUGGUGUAUGAGUUCCUAUCCAUGUGAAUUUGCCAAAACCAAGUUUGCGACAAAUCCAAACUCAUAUGGAUUGAACUUUCUUGAUUUCUAGCCUUAUGGUAACGCGAGUGCCCACCAUGUCUUCCAAGUAGUUUAGCAACUUAUCCUUACAUAUUAAUGUACUUUCCAUCGACCAAGGUGCUUUUAUGCAUUCAAAUAAGAACUCAUAGAACUCGCAUACAUAAUUAACUCAAUUGGAAUGGCACAGAAACAAAAUAAUGUCAACACGAUAGGUUGUAAACCUCAAGUCGUGUGCUACUGAUGAUCAAUAAGGUUUAUUUUUGAUUUGUUCUUGAAACUUUUUUCAAGAUUAUUAAAACUCCCACUGACCUGUUGACAUAUAUGAUUCUCUUGUCAGGAAACUUUCCUGGACAAAACGAAUAUUCAAGAGUUAGUGUAGUUCUUAUCAAGACAAAACACUUCACAUAAUUGGUUUUAGUUGGUCUUUGUCUUAUCCAAGACAUCACAACUUACCAAUUUCAAAUGUGCAAGAAUAAGAAAACUUUUCCAAAUUCCACAUUUGUUGAGUGUUAUAAACCUACUAAAGACUUGUCACUCAAUUCACAAUCUUGGAGUAUGACUCUAAGAUUCGAUAUUUGUGACAACCCAAAAAUUUCCGUUAGUUUUAAUGUCGAAAUUAAUUAUGUCAAAAAUUAGCCAAAUUUAUCCCGAAAACAUUUUUGACCGGAUUUAAACCUGUUAGAAUAUUUUAAAUAAUAUUCGUCAAGCGAACCAAAAUUAAGGCGAUAUAAUUUUAAAAUUUUCCGUGAUUAAUAAUAGUUGUGAAAAACCCCAUUCGCAGUUGGUGUCAGGUGAACCCCAUCCAGGCCAUAAACUCCACCCUAUAUAAGGAUGGAGUGGGUUUCAUUCCCACCUUUUUCCCACCUUAGACUCACUAUCUACUUUCUCUCUCUACAAAUGGGUUUUGGUCAAAAAUCGCCCCUACGAGCUUCAAAUCGGUAAGUUAACCUUCCUAGCAUGUCUAACUCUAAUGCUUGGGGAAAAGCAUCAAGGAACCCGAUAGAUUUUGGUACGUCUCUCAAUUCAGAUAACUAACCGAAAACAUUAAAAGGCUAAUUCAAAAUGUAAAUACUUCCCCGUUAAGGCGAAAGUCGAAGCACUGUUAUAAAAUUUAAAAUUUCAUCAGGUAAAACUAUAAUGGCUAGAUAUAUACGUUACGACCAUGUAUAAUUGAGAUGGAUAGACCUAGAGUGAGUGAAUGCCACCUCAUUUCCUGUUCUUCGUUUGGUUGUGGAUUUAGGGCGGAGUCGCUCAGUCAACAAUCCUCCCCACCUUAAUUUACAUGACUAGUAUAUGUUAGGCGAUUAUAGAAAUGCCUCAUGAAAAUCCAUUCAUGAAAAGGUACUUUACUUAGAAACACUCAGGACCCUCUAUAGUUCCGCGUCGACUCUAUCGGUCUAAGUAUCUGCGACAGUGAUACACGGGACGAAACCCGAGACUCCUAGAACUUGUGUGCCUGUUCGACACAUGACCCUAUCGACCCUCAUUCUAUAUCAUGUCGAAGUAUGCCAACUUCGACGCCUCUAUCAAUGAUGGUUCGAUUUCAUGCAACCAUGUGUAAAUCCUUAGUGUUGUGUAAAAAUAACUUUCACCAUAGCCAAUUCGGCAAAUAAAAAUAAAAAUAAUAAAGAUUAAUACGAUCCGUCAGUCGUCACUCUUAUUUCAAACCUUCCGAAGUACCCAGGAGAAGGGUACCAUGCGCUGUUAAUCAACCCUUCUUAGACAAAUAGAAACCAAAGCGAAAGACACUGCAGGUAUUCCAGAAGACGAUAACCACUCGAAGCCUACUCCGUAGAUCCCCCAAAAAGACCCUUCGCACCUCACAAUCAGGUUCGUGAAUCAAGAGGAUAGAACUCAUGGGACUGACCACUAUAAUUGAGUAUAUGCAUAAGGGCGGUAUAUAAUUAAGAUCAAAAAGACUAAAGAUGUGUGCUUCCUCCCUACUCCCUGUUCCUCGUUGGGUUGUGAGUUUGGGGUGGAGUCGCACAACUGAACAUCCUACCGACCUCAAUCAUAUAUGGCUUGCAUACACCAAGUAGUAGUGGUUAAGCCAAGUAUGAGCUCCACCACGAACCUCAUAGUAAAAACGUUCAUCCUAUUCCAUAGAAUAGGAGCUAGAGUCAAGAGAACCACGGGGGGUUGAGCUACUAUAAUGACCGCGAAUCCGAAAUUUUUUGUCAUCCCGGUUAAGCCAACAUAGUAGCCAACACCCUCGGUUGGUACAGAAAUCUGAUUCGUAAGAGUCAAGGGCAUUGACUACGACCAUCCACUCACGCUUAAUCCCACGAAUUAAGCAUCUCAGCGAACAUCCCCGAAACACUGGAAGCUACGAUAAGUUGAACUCUAAGAAGAGUGGAUGAGGAGAUUAAAGUUCCGAGUGAUGGAACCCUAUACUCACUAGAUUUGACCUAAAUCAAGAAGACUUAGAACCUUCAGAAGAGUAGUUGAAGAAGACGUUCGCACUAUUCUGGCCCUUCGUCCACCCCGUUACCGAUGAAUAGGGCCUAGGACACUCCGCCCCCCCUUACGUGGAAGAAUUCACCGUCGCCCUGUAAACGAUAGACUGCAUUCUCCGAAGUGAACACUAGUAUACCGAGAACCACAGGAUAACCUCUGCAGCCAAGAAUACUUGAAUAAAGUGCAAAAGUAGGUUGUGUUAAGCCUUGUAACCCAGAUCCCGAAGAGUUUACCACCCUAAAAUCAUGUUUUUAAGGUAGUAAACUCCCCAAGAACAUCUUCUUAGACCGUAAACACCUUUCCAAGGUGUUUAAGUGCCCUAAACACCUUCCUAAGCUCCUAAAAGUGACUAGAACCUUACAUGCAUGAGUUAGAACCACCAAACAACAAAAGAAAUGGACCAACAUGAGUUUACUACCAUAAAAUCAUGUGUUUACGGUUGUAAACUCCUCAAGGAGUUUUCAUGGGCCGUAAACUCCUUAAAUGAUCCUUGAAGCCUUAUACCCUUCAUAACCCCUAGAAUUGAACUUAGCCUAAUUCCACAAGUGUUAAAAGACCUUAAUGCAUCAAAGAACACAGCAUCCAUUUGUUUAUGGCCGUAAACUCAUGGGGAUAAGGUCUUUGGGCCGUAAACUCUAUACAGAGUUUACUCUUGAAGAGUAAACUCCCUAUCUAGGCCAUACACACCCUUAGAUGUUACCCGGGACACUCCUAGCCGUUGACCAAAGUGUUUUCCGCAUUUUAGGAUGCGUAUACAUGUUUAAUUAGUAUUAUAUUUACUAAUUGUAUGUAAACAUAUGUCAUCAUAUGUUAAUAGGUCACCAAGUGUGUUCAAGUCUUUACUUGACACCGAGCACCCAACCGACACUUUCGUUCGAUCCGCUUACAACAGGUGAGUUCAUACCCCUAAAUUAACAUUUUAAAUGUUUUUACAUGCUUUUAGGGGGGGGGGUUGAUACAAGUUAAAACAUGCCAGUUAUCGUAUCAAUCACAUGUGAUUGAUGACCCGCAUGCACAAGGAUUUAUUACACUGUCAGCUGUUUUACCAAGUAUGAUACUUUAAAUGGUUUUUCCAAAGCGUCUUUGCUUGUUCAAAUCUUUUCUCAAAUUGACUCUCACGCUGUAUGUUUUACUUCAGAUUUAGUUACAACAGUAUUUUAAACAAAGAUUUUCUUUACUUAUAUUGUUUUAUCAGAUUUUUGAUCAAAACUUGUUUAUGAAAGAUUUUCAAGGGUUUCUAAAGGUUUUCAAACUUAUUUUACAAAAGAAUACCAUGUCGUGAUUUUCUUAAGUGUGAAGGUUUUCCAAAGUUUUCAUAAAAGUUUUCUUCCAUGUUUUUAUACUUCUACUUCGUUAGAUACUACUACUUCGUUAUGCCUUUACUUCGUUAAAUGCUCCUACUUAGUAAACGCUUAUACUUUGUUAACGCUUCUACUUCGUGAAAUGAUUCUACUUGUUAAUGCUUUUACUUUGAUUAACGCUUCGACUUUAUUAACGCUUCUACUUUGUUAACACUUCUGCUUUGUUAAUGCUUCUACUUCAUUAAACGCUCCUGCUUUUUUAAUGCUACUACUUCGUUAAACGCUUCUACUUAGUUAAACACUUCUACUUAGUUAAAUGUAUCUACUUAGUUAAAUGUAUGCUUGUGCUUGUAUAGUUAUAUAAAUAAUGUUUAAAGGACUUAGGAAGGAUAGUUCGCCCUAUUUCCUUUUCCUCGUUUGGAUGUGGUCUGCUGGGAUCGGAUAUCCAUCCGAAGGUCGUUUAAUCAUUAAUUAUAUAUUAUGUAUACAUGUAUACACAUACAGGUUUACAUCGAUCAGUUACGUUAUGAGUUUUUACCGUUAGUCUAGCACUUACAUCAUAAUUCACUGUUCGAGAUGCAUCUUCAAGACACAGAUCUCCCCGUCGUCGAGUUGGUAACGAGAGUCUCCUGUAGGGAGAGCGUACAUUGUGUGUAUAGAUCUAUACGGGACUGAAACCCCCGCACCCUGAUUGCUAGCUACAGUCCACAGCCUACCAAGCCAAGGGGUGACAAAUGUCAUAUUUACACCGACGCUUGUAGGGCGUCAAGUACUCUAGUGUCAAUUAGUAUGGUUACGAGUAUCUCCAUGAUUACCUUAUAGUUCAUGGCCUUAAGGUAACGAUGUUUAACACUGUAUGCUGGAAACACACUCUUAGAAUUACUCUUUGUUUUAGACCUUGCUAGCUGUAUCGUACAUUUGAUUCCGUCUGGGGUCUGUGUCUCCUUUUGUUAGACUGAGCUAGGCAUGUCGUUCAUUCGAUACUCUCCUGGAGUCUCUGAUUUCUUUUGCCAUGGACAACAGUAUUUUUCUGCUGAGGCAUAUGUUAUUUUCCCUAUUGUUUAUCCUCCUACUUACUUUAAAAUCAAAUACCGUAUUUUGGNUAUUUUGGUAAUGAUAACAUUUCAGGGAAAUUCUCUUUAAAACAUAACACUGUCGGGUCUUGGUAGAAGACUGCUUUUAUUUAGAAAAUAUAGGAUUUUCUGGAAAGGACUCUAAUACACCGUUGAUUCUAAACUACUACUUUUAUAAAGUUAUUUGAAUAAAAUGACACUAAAUACUUAUGAACUCACUAGCAUUUAUAAAAAUGCUGAUACUCGCUUUCAAAUAACUUGUAUUCUCAGGUUAGCAAUAGACAAGUACAUCCCAUGAGCUUUUGGUGAAGACAGUUGAGUACCAAGGUGCACCUAUAUUAUUACUUGUAUUACUUUAAUGUCUCUAUGAAAUGUAAACCAUGUCAAAAUAUUAUUAUUAAUGCAAUGGUUGUUGUACUUUGAUUACUAUACUGCAUAUGUUGUGAUACUUGACAUGACGUCAUCCACCCCAGAACGUUUCCACCGUUCCGGUUUUAGGGUGUGACAGAUUUUUAUCAGAGGAUUGUUUGUAUUAACCAAAUUAUAUCAAUUCAUAAAAGAUAUACAACCUAUAAAUACUUAGGGAUAAAACACUUUGACCAAGAAUUACACUCUAAAAUGUAACCAUAUUUUACCAAAGUAUAAGAGCAUCUAGAAUCUAAACACCCGAACAAAGUAUCACAAGAAGAACAAGAAAAAAAGUCUUUGGAUGUUGAGCAUUACUGUCAAACCUGGGCAGUUAUGUAAUCGUAAGCUGGAAUAAAUGUAACCUGAUCAACUACAAUUAUUCGAGAUGCGAUGAACGUGUGCUUGGGAGUGAUAGUGGUGUUGCAACAGGUCUGAAACUUAC
rnacentral:lncRNA from 1 species